AUAUUGGACAAUGGGCGCAAGCCUGAUCCAGCCAUGCCGCGUGAGUGAUGAAGGCCCUAGGGUUGUAAAGCACUUCCAUCGGAGAAGAUAAUGACGGUAACCGUAGAAGACGACCCGGCUAACUUCGUGCCAGCAGCCGCGGUAAUACGAAGGGGGCCAGCGUUGUUCGGAAUUACUGGGCGUAAAGCGCACGUAGGCGGAUUGGUCAGUUAGGGGUGAAAUCCCGGGGCUCAACCCUGGAACUGCCUUUAAUACUGCCGGUCUAGAGUUCGAGAGAGGUGAGUGGAAUUCCGAGUGUAGAGGUGAAAUUCGUAGAUAUUCGGAGGAACACCAGUGGCGAAGGCGGCUCACUGGCUCGAUACUGACGCUGAGGUGCGAAAGCGUGGGGAGCAAACA
rnacentral:rRNA from 1 species